UACGGAGGAGGCAAGCGUUAUCCGGAAUUAUUGGGCGUAAAGCGUCCGUAGGUGGCACUUCAAGUCUGCGGUCAAAGACCGGGGCUUAACCCUGGAAAGGCCGUGGAAACUGAAGUGCUAGAGUGCGGUAGGGGUAGAGGGAAUUCCCGGUGUAGCGGUGAAAUGCGUAGAGCUCGGGAAGAACAUCGGUGGCGAAAGCGCUCUACUGGACUGCAACUGACACUGGGGGACGAAAGCUAGGGGAGCGAAUGGG
rnacentral:rRNA from 1 species